rnacentral:rRNA from 1 species
UUGUCCGGAAUUACUGGGUGUAAAGGGAGUGUAGGCGGGAUAUCAAGUCAGAAGUGAAAAUUACGGGCUCAACUCGUAACCUGCUUUUGAAACUGUCAUUCUUGAGUGAAGUAGAGGCAAGCGGAAUUCCUAGUGUAGCGGUGAAAUGCGUAGAUAUUAGGAGGAACACCAGUGGCGAAGGCGGCUUGCUGGGCUUUUACUGACGCUGAGGCUCGAAAGCGUGGGGAGCAAACAGGAUUAGAUACCCUGGUAGUCCACGCCGUAAACGAUGAUUACUAGGUGUGGGGGGAUUGACCCCUUCCGUGCCGGAGUAAACACAAUAAGUAAUCCACCUGGGGAGUACGACCGCAAGGUUGAAACUCAC